AGGACGAACGCUGGCGGCGUGCCUAACACAUGCAAGUCGAGCGGAGUUAACAAGAGGAAGUUUCGGAUGGAAUUUGUAAUUAGCGGCGGACGGGUGAGUAACGCGUGAGCGACCAACCUUGCACAGGGGGAUAACGGACCGAAAGGUUCACUAAUACCGCAUGAGACCACGGUGUUGCAUGACACAGAGGUCAAAGGAGCAAUCCGGUGCAAGACGGGCUCGCGUCCGAUUAGGUAGUUGGUGGGGUAAUGGCCCCACCAAGCCUAUGAUCGGUAGCCGACCUGAGAGGGUGAUCGGCCACAUUGGAACUGAGAUACGGUCCAAACUCCUACGGGAGGCAGCAGUGGGGAAUAUUGGGCAAUGGGGGGAAAAACCCCUGACCCAGCAACGCCGCGUGAAGGAAGAAGGUUUUCGGAUUGUAAACUUCUGUCCUUGGUGAAGAGAAGAAGACGGUAGCCAAGGAGGAAGCCCCGGCUAACUACGUGCCAGCCGCAGC
rnacentral:rRNA from 1 species